ensembl:lncRNA
GGAGCCCGAGCCGCCGCGCCGCGCCGCGCCGCCUCCCAGCGGCCGGGGGCUCAAGCCGAGACUCGGGGCGGGAGGGCGGGGGCGCGCGGAGGAACUCCGACAGCGCUCGGCCCGCGGCCUCUUUCCACCCUCUCCCUUCCAGAAAGGAUGCGCCCGCCGAGGACUUCAGCCUUCCCUUCCAAAGGGGAAUCGCUUCUAGAAAGCUUUUCUCAGAAGGAGAGAGACAGAUUAUUCGGUUGGAAAGAGAAGCAAAUCUUAAGAGCAAAACGAGGGAGGAUCAAAGGGUCGGUUCGUGUGAACUGAAGACGGGAGCCUUUCCAGGGGGGCAGGACCUUUUCCGAUCUCGGGCAAGACAUUUUGGAGCCAGUGAGCCAGUGAGGAUCAAAAUCAAGAAAUUAAAUUUGGAGGCUGAGUUCCCAGCGUCAAUCAUUUGCAGUUGGACAGAGGAAAAAGAGAACCAGAACAGAGCUGCUGGGAGGAGGCUGAGCUGGGCGUGGGGACCUCUGAAGGCAAGACUGGGCUGAGGAACUGCCCCGUGCAGGUAACUCGCUUAAUGACCGGCCUCCUUCCCCGGAUAUCUAUUCAUUCUUGCCCAUCUCUUGAAGAUGUGACAUCUUGCUCCCAAUCUCCUCUGUGACAUGCCUGGCUGGUGUUAAGCUUGACUUCUAAACUGAAAGAUUAAGAGGCAUAUUACUGGGCUCUAGGGUAGAGGAUCUUUUUAAGAAAAUUAGAGACACCAAGGGAACAUUUCAUGCAAAGAUGGGCUUGGUAAAGGACAGAAAUGGUAUGGACCUAACAGAAGCAGAAGAUAUUAAGAAGAGGUGGCAAGAAUACACAGAAGAACUGUACAAAAAAGAUCUUCACGACCCAUCACAAUGGUGUGAUCACUCACCUAGAGCCAGACAUCCUGGAAUGUGAAGUCAAGUGGGCCUUAGAAAGCAUCACUACGAACACAGCUAGUGGAGGUGAUGGAAUUCCAGCUGAGCUAUUUCAAAUCCUGAAAGAUGAUGCUGUGAAAGUGCUGCACUCAACAUGCCAGCAAAUUUGGAAAACUCAGCAGUGGCCACAGGACUGGAAAAGGUCAGUUUUCAUUCUAAUCCCAAAGAAAGGCAAUGCCAAAGAAUGUUCAAACUACUGCACAAUUGCACUCAUCUCACACAUGAGUAAAGUAAUGCUCAAAAUUCUCCAAGCCAGGCUUCAGCAAUACGUGAACCGUGAACUCCCUGAUGUUCAAGCUGGUUUUAGAAAAGGCAGAGGAACCAGAGAACAAAUUGCCAAUAUCCGCUGGAUCGUCGAAAAAGCAAGAGAGUUCCAGAAAACAUCUAUUUCUGCUUUAUUGACUAUGCCAAAGCCGUUGACUGUGUGGAUCACAAUAAGGAUUGGACUGACCUUUUCCAGUUCUGUGGCCACUGCUGAGUUUUCCAAAUUUGCUGGCAUAUUGAGUGCAGUACUUUCACAGCAUCAUCUUUCAGGAUUUGAAAUAGCUCCACUGGAAUUCCAUCACCUCCACUAGACUGCAUAGGCCGGAUCUUCUGGAGCAAAGUACGGAGAACUGGUUUGCCUGUCAUCUUAAACAGCAUAGAGGAAUCAACUCUGACUCUGAUCAAGGUUCCAAGUCUAACUCCUGGCUUACAGCGAGUCCAGAGAACAAAGAAGCAAGUUAACCGACAAGGGGGUUGGAAUCGGCAGAGUCUGAACUGUGGACAUGUCUGCAGGACAAACACCCCAGUUUCUUCCCUAAAUACACGGCUGGGGUGAAAAGGUCAGGAGCAUCGCAGGGGCAGAGCGCUCCCGCAGAACUCUCUGUGUUGAUGGCAGUGUUCUGUGUGUGUGGCUCCUUCACACUUGUGAGGCACCCA